rnacentral:rRNA from 1 species
GACGAACGCUGGCGGCGUGCUUAACACAUGCAAGUCGAACGGAAAGGCCCUGCUUUUGUGGGGUGCUCGAGUGGCGAACGGGUGAGUAACACGUGAGUAACCUGCCCUUGACUUUGGGAUAACUUCAGGAAACUGGGGCUAAUACCGGAUAGGAGCUCCUGCUGCAUGGUGGGGGUUGGAAAGUUUCGGCGGUUGGGGAUGGACUCGCGGCUUAUCAGCUUGUUGGUGGGGUAGUGGCUUACCAAGGCUUUGACGGGUAGCCGGCCUGAGAGGGUGACCGGACAAAUUGGGAAGGAGAUACGGCCCAAACUCAUAGGGGGGGAAGGAGGGGGGAAUAUUGAAAAAGGGGGGGAAGCCGGAUGCAGCAACGCCGGGGGGGGGAUGAGGGCCUUGGGGGUGUAAACCGCUUUGGCCGGGAAAGAAGGGGGGGUGACGGUAAUGGGUAAAGAAACACCGGCUAACUACGU